UUAGACAAGGAGGGAAGUUUUGCCGCUGCAGUUUCAUUUUCCUUUUCAAAUGAUGUUUGCUCUAGUCCUCUUUUGAAACACGCGGCCUCCAACCCAGUUUCCAAUGCAAUCGGUCCUUGACCUCAAUAGAUGUUGUGCCCAAUAUCGGAGUGUCCUCUCCGAUCGUCGACGUUGUCCUUGCCGGUGUGUGCUCUCCCAUCGGCAGCCCUUGUUGCUCUUUCUAUUUCUUUAUUCCUCUCUUUCCCUUUUACCUCUCUCUAUUUCACCAUCCCCUGUAAUUGCGGCCGAUUGUUUUGGUUUUUACUUGCUAAUUUUUGGCGGAGGAGGAGUUGUUAUUUAUCAAUUUACCUCCCAAGUUUGGCCACGACAUGUACAAUUCCUAUGUUGAUUUCAAUCUUUGGGACUUGGGGGAGGUUGAUUUGAGAAAAUUUGAUGUCAAUUCGGCUCUCAACAGGGUUUUGGGGUAGCUGAUGAGGGAGAUUGGAGGUUCUGGAAGUAAGCGGAGGAAGCAAGCUGAGUUUUGACUGGGACUGCCAAUUCACACGGUGUGUGGGAUCGAAAGCUACGAAUCACAAUUAGCAAGGUUGCCAGAAUACUCUUGUUCAUAUACCUGUUUUAUCAUGUCUACCUGCAUUACGAUGAGGUCGGCAAAUUCCAAAGGGGCAGAACAGUGAAAGAAAAGAGGCAACCACCUAUAUGCAAAGAGGGUGAUGUUAUUAAAGAGGGACAAGUAAUUCGAUAUGUGGAGCAGUUUGGCACCGAACUUCCUGUGAAGUUGGAUGUUCGUGGAGAGGUUUUCAAGAUCCUCUUCAUCGUAUGGCUUUAUUACCAACUCGAUAGCAUUGGAAUUGGUCAUUGUCUUUUCAGGAGGUCUCAUAUUUAAACCAUGAGACAAUUUUUUAAUUUUUAUUUUUCUUUUCAAAAAACUAUUGUUCUCUACCUUUUGCCAUGUUUCUACCAUCACUUCUUUAGAAUAAAAUAAAUUACUGGAGCACUUAAUCUUGAGUUUCUUUGACUAAUGGAUAAUAGGAUGUGGAACACUCACCUCCUUUGCUAUGUUGCUACUUA